rnacentral:rRNA from 1 species
AGAGUUUGAUCCUGGCUCAGAACGAACGCUGGCGGCAUGCCUAACACAUGCAAGUCGAACGGGAUCCGGGGCUUCGGCCCCGGUGAGAGUGGCGGACGGGUGAGUAACGCGUGGGAACCUGCCCGGCGGUCGGGAAUAACCGCGGGAAACCGCGGCUAAUACCGGAUACGCCCCCUCGGGGGGAAAGAUUUAUCGCCGUCGGAGGGGCCCGCGUCGGAUUAGGUAGUUGGCGGGGUAACGGCCCACCAAGCCUGCGAUCCGUAGCUGGUCUGAGAGGACGAUCAGCCACACUGGGACUGAGAUACGGCCCAGACUCCUACGGGAGGCAGCAGUGGGGAAUAUUGGACAAUGGGCGCAAGCCUGAUCCAGCAAUGCCGCGUGAGUGAAGAAGGCCCUAGGGUUGUAAAGCUCUUUCGCCCGCGACGAUGAUGACGGUAGCGGGAGAAGAAGCCCCGGCUAACUCCGUGCCAGCAGCCGCGGUAAUACGGAGGGGGCUAGCGUUGUUCGGAAUUACUGGGCGUAAAGGGCGCGUAGGCGGCCCGCCAAGUCCGGCGUGAAAGUCCUGGGCUCAACCCGGGGACGGCGCUGGAGACUGGCGGGCUGGAGUCCGGGAGAGGGUGGCGGAAUUCCCAGUGUAGAGGUGAAAUACGUAGAUAUUGGGAAGAACACCGGUGGCGAAGGCGGCCACCUGGCCCGGGACUGACGCUGAGGCGCGAAAGCGUGGGGAGCAAACAGGAUUAGAUACCCUGGUAGUCCACGCCGUAAACGAUGCGUGCUAGACGUCGGGGGGCAUGCCCUUCGGUGUCGCAAGCCAACGCGUUAAGCACGCCGCCUGGGGAGUACGGCCGCAAGGUUAAAACUCAAAGGAAUUGACGG